GUGUGUGUAGUGUGUGUAGUGUGUGUAGUGUGUGUGUGGUGUGUGUAGUGUGUGUAGUGUGUGUAGUGUGUGUGUGGUGCAACCAGGCUGUUCAGUGUGUAGUGUGUGUGUGUGUGUAGUGUGUGUGUGGUGCAGCCAGGCGGUUCAGUGUGUAGUGUGUGUGUGGUGUGUGUAGUGUGUGUGUGGUGUGUGUAGUGUGUGUGUGGUGCAGCCAGGCUGUUCAUUGUGUAGUGUGUGUGUGGUGCAGCCAGGCUGUUCAGUGUGUAGUGUGUGUGUGGUGUGUGUAGUGUGUGUAGUGUGUGUGUUGUGUGUGUGGUGUGUGUAGUGUGUGUAGUGUGUGUAGUGUGUGUGUGUAGUGUGUGUAGUGUGUGUAGUGUGUGUAGUGUGUGUGUAGUGUGUGUAGUGUGUGUGUGUGGUGCAGCCAG
ensembl:lncRNA